rnacentral:piRNA from 1 species
UAGCUAAGACAAAACUCGCUGUACAAA